CCUGAAAGAUUUGCUGUCCGUGCUGCAGCUCGUCCACACUCUUUCAUUUGAAGUCACUCCUACCAGAGGGUGUUCCCUCAGAAAUGCGCACUGUAGCCUGCUAUUCACAUUCACAGGUUUACUGAAUAGCAGCAUCUCAGUGGAUCCACCAAGGACACAGCCUUGGAAUCGACCUAUUUGAAAACAACUUUUGUAUUAAAUGUACUUUUGAAUGUGUUUUUUUCCCCAUCCCCUCCAUGGAUGAGAACUGAACAAUAAGUUGGCACUUGACUCCUUUGCCUAACGGACCGAGUCUGAAUCAUGCAUUGCGCAGAAUCUCUGCUCACUUACGAUUAAUUUACAGGAGAGAGGCGCAUCUCCGUCUUACAGGAUGGGAGUCGCGCGCUGAAUGUUAUUGCAUGGUGUUUUGGCAGGGGGGUAGUAAACUUGCGUAAAGAGUCUGCUUCUGCACAAGUAUUGAUUGCUUGUCACAAGUAGGUGAUUGAUACAAUGUCAGCCAUACGGAGGAAAUUUGGCGAGGACUACCAGGUGGUAAACACCAACCAGAGCAUUACUUUUUCCGCACAGGUGAAGAAAAAGCGGCAGCGGUUUGUGGAGAAGAACGGCCGCUGCAAUGUCCAGCACGGUAACCUUGGCGGGGAGACAAGCCGAUACAUCUCUGAUCUCUUCACCACGCUGGUGGAUCUCAAGUGGCGCUGGAACCUACUCAUCUUCAUUCUCACUUAUACAGUUGCAUGGCUGGUGAUGGCUUCUAUGUGGUGGGUCAUCGCUUACAUCCGCGGCGACUUGAGCCACGGCGGCCACGAUUCGUCCUACACCCCAUGCGUCGCCAACGUGUACAACUUUCCAUCCGCGUUCCUGUUUUUCAUCGAGACUGAGGCGACCAUCGGCUACGGCUACCGCUACAUCACCGAGAAGUGUCCGGAGGGUAUCAUCCUCUUCCUCUUCCAGUCGCUGCUGGGGUCCAUCGUGGACGCCUUUCUCAUCGGCUGCAUGUUCAUCAAGAUGUCGCAGCCGAAGAAGCGCGCGGAGACGUUGAUGUUCAGCCAGGACGCGGUCAUUUCGCAGCGGGACGGGAAGUUGUGCCUCAUGUUCCGAGUGGGGAACCUGCGGAACAGCCACAUGGUGUCCGCGCAGAUCAGGUGCAAAGUCAUUAAGUCUCGGCAGACCCCAGAGGGCGAGUUCCUGCCCCUGGACCAGUGCGAGCUGGACGUGGGUUUUGGGACGGGGGCCGACCAGCUCUUCUUGGUGUCGCCCCUAACCAUCUGCCAUGAGAUCAACAUCAAGAGCCCGUUCUUUGAUCUGUCGCAGCGCUCACUCGUGAACGAGCAGUUUGAGAUUGUUGUCAUCCUAGAGGGCAUCGUGGAGACCACUGGUAUGACAUGCCAGGCAAGGACAUCUUACACCGAAGAUGAAGUCUUGUGGGGCCAUCGUUUCCUCCCUGUCAUGUCACUGGAGGAGGGCUUCUUCAGAGUCGACUACUCCCAGUUCCACAACACCUUUGAGGUCCCUACACCUCCCAACAGCGUCAAAGAGCAGGAGGAGAAGUCCUCAUUGACGUUGCCCAACCCUCUGACUGUUGCACACACCCCCUCCUCCCCUCUGCUGGGUAAUGGUAGCCGCGGGGGCCGCAGAGAAAGGCUCCUGUCGGCUGACUAUGCGGAUCACGUAGAGGACCAAGCCUCCAGGCUGCCCAGCAAACUCCAGCGCAUGAGCUCCGCCAGGGAGGAGCACCUAUGGAGGGGGCUGAAAACAGGACCAGUCUUGCCUGGGGGGAAGGCCUCCAGCACAGGAGACCUUCCGCUUAGUAUUCGGAGGCUGAGGUCCAGCUCCAUCCCGGCUGUGAUGCAAGGACAGCUGGAGGAGCAGGUCCAGCUGUUGUCCUUGGAUGGAGAUGCUGAAGAGGGUGAGCUGGAGAAACACAGACUCACAGCAGCCAUUAGCACCAUCGAUGCUCCAACACCAGCACCAGUCCAGAUCCCCUUGGUAGGGAGUCGGCCAGAGGACAACCUGCCCCCUAAACUGCGCAGAAUGAAUGCUGACCGCUGACUUCUGCAGACUACCCUUAAAACUAAAAACAUUUUGAAAACUGAAUCAGGCUUGAUGGGCAUUGCAUAUAAAUAUAGACUACUGUGAUAUAAUUUUUGUUUUUUUCCUGCAGAUUUGGUCCAGUAUUUUACAUUUACUUACGGGCUCUCUACUAAGUUGUCCAUAGCGACAAAUAGAAGGACAACACGAAUAAGCCAUCCAUCCGCUCAUACUGUGAGUCAUUUUUGAUAGAUCACCAUCUGUGCCCCUACCACUGACUUCUAACACUUCUGCCCUUGUGCUUGUUUCUUUCACUUCUGUUCAUAGAGUUGCAUCAGAGACUUUAUUAUUUCAAACAACUACACUUUUUUCAAUUAAUCAAGCACCAAAGCGGUGGUCAUGAAUAAGACUCACCUGAAUGGACCAUUCGCUAAACCCCUCCCCCAAACACAGAUUGUCCAAUCAUAGCUUAGCAACUGAAUCUAGGCACGACAGAUCUGUCAAGCUUUGGAUUUUGCCACAUGCCUCAAGCGGUGUAAAUGGGGCUGUAGUAAGGGUAAAGACCUACUGAAAGCGCAGCCGAAAAGCAAUGCAAGAAGUUUCGUGUUUACCUGCUGUGAAGACAUGUCUGUGGAGGACAAGAUCAUUAUUGUACUUUCUGGGAUACCUCUUUUCUAUAUCGCUGGUCUCCAGGAUUACAGGAUUACACAAAAACAAAGUGCUGCUUGGCACAAUGUCAUGUAAAUUGUGGGAUAAAUUGCAGGUUGUUUAUUUCCACAAUCUUUGCUAAUGAACAAGGUAAUCACUCGAAAACCACAACAAGCGAGAAGUGACAGAGACGAUGUUGCGUACUAUGUUGGCUUCCAGCGGGUCUUCUCCAAAAGAGUCAUACUUAACAUUUAAGAGUUUGGAUGGUGGUGUCUUUCUUUUAUUCAAAAUCAAAAACACAAGAGCAAAAGUGUGAGGAAUGGAUUAAAGUGUGUGUUUAUACGCUCUAAAGUAAACUGCAAACAUUAGCAUGUCUGGCUAACAAGCUUACUACCUACAAUACUAACCAAUCGUUACUUCCAAGGCCAAGGAGAACAUAAGUGGGGUUACAGGUUUUGUUAAAAAAAAGCCUGGUUCAUGACUAGCACAUCCACCGUGUAGUCAGAGACAGUUUAGAAGGGAGACAGCUCACUUGAGAGCCAUUUCCUGUAUCUGUGUCACGUGGGUUUCACCACUGCCCCGCCCCUUUAGGAGACUAGCGGCAGGUCCUGAGUCUGUUCAAUCCAAUGGGAGAAGUGAACGUGAGCACAUAUUAUGACAGAUUCUUUUGCCCCAUAGUCACCAAAAUAAAUAUCAGACCCAUUUUUUACAAGCCACAUAUCUUCCGAACAUUCUGACACUAAAAUGAAAAUUUUCAGACAAACAAAUCAGGAGAAAAUUUGAUCGAGACCUGUCUCUGUCUUAACCACACACUCUCGUGAGAUCUGGCAACAUCUGUUGACGUCACUUUACCACCAAAUAAACAGAAAUCUAAAGAGACUAAAGUGUCGACCACGCCCACUUAGGAGACAGGAAGUGUGUACCAUUUUAUACCAUUGGUGCUGCCUGUAAUGCGUAAUCUUUGUUAUAGAGUAUCUUUGGUGUAGUAUAACUUGUGAGGAUGCAUAUUUAAGACCCCUUUUACAUCACUUUAAAAAGAGGCAGCUAGAAACGUGUUUUCAGCCAACUCAUGGAGCUAAUGUUAGCUUUAUUAGCUAGCUAACACACAGAUGGCAAAAUCAGUGGUUGCCGGCUAGAAAUGAGAAACCUGCUUUUGUCUACCUCUGUGUGAAAUUAAGCACCCAUUGUUUCGAAAAUAACUAAUUUUAAUAAACUAAAUUUUAAUAAUAAAUCUGCCACCAUUAUUAUUGUAAACUGCAUAUGUGCUGUGCGAAAGUGAAAGACAGGUGUAGCAACAGUAACUAAGGGGGACAGGGCUUAGUGAACGUCAAUCAUCCUGAAUUGUUUAAAAAAUUAAUAAAACCUCUGAUACAAGUCAGCUUGAUACAGUAUAUUUAUGUAUCACUUGUACUGAAUAUUUGUUUAUUUGAAUGCUCAUUUGAGUUGUAUGUUUACUACUAUACAAUUUUAACUGUUUUUAUCUCUUGGCACAGUGUUUGCAUUGGCCCGUUAUACACAUGGGUGGCAAAAUGUAAUCACAGAUCAAUUUUGGACUAUGGACUUUCUUUCAUCAUGAACUGAUUUAUUAAAAUGUAAAACAAAUAUUUGGGAAUACAGGGAUGCUGAUAUCAGGGGACACAUGUAUUAUUGCUAAUAUAAAGAAAUGCUGCAUCACCUUUUCUUUGGGACUCCAGUCGAGUAUUUGCUGACUGCGUUCAAUGUUUCAACACCCUGAGGUAUUUCAGCCUGCAAAAUGCAUCAGUAGCUCAUGUGUCGCCUGCUGUGAUGGUUAAACCAACAUUCAUCAAAAAUUAAAGCCUUAAAUGUGAAUGUGAGUUGUUUCUAUUUUGAAGCAAAUUUCAGGAGAGCAAGAGUUCAGAGUAAAGGAAACUCCAGACAAAACCCUUUGGUGGCAUUCAAACCCUGGCUGGGCAUCGUUCACAACUCAGAGAGGUAAUUCCUCACGUCAAGGGGGUCCUUCAGAGCUCAGCAGAGUGUUAGUAAUAUCUGUGACAGUCAAGACCCGGGAUGUUCGCUGACUGACUUCUUCCUGUGGUGUCAUUACCUGUGAUUGGCAAGUGUGUCAUCAACGUUAUGACAAGUAUGUCAGAUAUAAGUCAGUGACUCACACAUACACAUCUUGUUUUGACUGACUCCAGCAAAUAUGUGACUGCAUUUCACAUUUAGAGAUGAAUCUCAUUACAGCUAUCGACACAUGCCCUUGGUGACAGACAUGUACCUGUCUAUCUCAGCUGUCAGAGCCGUGACAUUUUUUUUAACCAAUGUGUCCCAUUUUUUCAGGAUCAGUAGUCACAUAAUCUCAAGCAAGACCUCCUCCCUGUGUCUUUGUAAGCUGCACUAGACGAGAGCCUCAGUUCAAAAAUAGAAAAAUGGAAAUACGGUGAUAUUGACACUAAAACACUGCGCUGACAGCGGGGAUAUGUGUUUACAUUCAGGUAAACGUGAUUGGACUAACUGUGCUGCUCCGCAUCCUUUACCAUCAUGCUGUUGAAACAGUGUGUGGAGGCAGGUUACAUUCAUUUUCAUUAACAGCAGACAAAUUGUGUUUGGGAGGGACUUAAUCAGAUUGUGUGUUCUGUGGAGGUCUGUGGUUUCUUAUACAACCUUGUGCUCCAUCAAUUGGGGGAAUUUUUAGAUUUGAUUACUUGAUUGAUUUGAUUACUCUGUGAUUUAAUCAACAGAAUAACUACUAAGAAACUGGCACACUUGCUUAGCUGGUUGAGACUGCCCUCAAUUUGGGCAGCUAAUAGAUACGAAUGUAUAUAGAUCUGUAUGAACAUGAUGAAAAACUCAUGAACAUUUGCUCUACAAAGCUACAAAACCUACAUGUUUACAUACUUCAAUCAUAUAUUUAUGACUGUUACCUUUUUAUAAUUCAUAUUGAUUCUUGAAUGCAUAUUUGCUCGUCUUGAACUUCCGUUUAAUAAUUGAUUAAACUAAGAAUCAUAUAUAUCAGACAAACUUAAAUAAAAUGCUCUGACAAUAAAAUGCAGCAGCAGCAGCAGCAAAGCUUUGAGGAUGUUUUUAUGAGCAAGAUAAUUGGAUUGGCGUUGAUUUUGUUUGUCCUCAAGGGACUUGACUCUCUUCUUACUGUAAAAGUGUGUAUGAACAUAACGCUCACAUAUUCCUAUACACGUGAGGACUUGCAGUUGUUUUCUGCCUGAUCUGAACCUAAAACUAUACCUCUAAUGAUGACCUAAUCAUUGCCGAUGUACAGUAUAUUUGUUUUCCUGUUCUUGGUUUAUGUGAGGAGGGUUAGGGAUUUUACUUGCCAGUGAGUAUGUGCAUCACAUAUGCAGCUCCCAGAAUUCAAUUCUGCUAUGUGACAGACAAAGAAUGGGAAAAGAUCAUAGACACAGUCAGGAUAAUAUUUCUAUUUUUGGAGGCAAAGUAUGAGCUUAAAUGUAAUCAUAUAGUUGGUAUCAUGACCCUUCUUCUACAACAGCUUGUGUACGUGUGCCUUAUGUUGGGAGACUGGAAACAAAGUAUGUAUAUAACCUUUGCUUAAUCAGGAAGUCUUAUCAAGAUUAGGGUCUCUUUUGAGAGAGAGACCUGAGCACAGCAGGGGAAACGUAUACAGAGUGAAGACACACAGUACAACCAACAAGGUUCAAUCCCGCUUCAACUGAAACACAAAAAGCAUCAAAAACAAAUCACAAAUAUCUCUCCAAAUCUUUCCAAAACUAAGUUAAAAGUUUAAUAUCACUCAGUGGUUAAAAUGUUUAAGUUCUAAAAUCUUACCUACAGUCAAAGAACCUUUUGCAUGCAAAACGUUACAUAAAUGAUGAACUGGUCAAAAAAUAUAACAAGCCCACAGAUGUAAAGGUGUUUAGUACGAAUGAAUCCUUAACAGCAAAUCCUUAGGCUGAACUGAAACUGAAAGCACCAUUGUGAGCUCAGCCAUGAUAUACAAUACAUUACUUCCUGUUAAAAAACUCAUUAAAAGAUAGUGAAAGCCACAUGAUGUGGCAAAUAGUUGUCUUCUGAGCUAUUAACCUUAUAAACAAUGCUUACGUAGGCCUAAUUUGGACCAAACUGAACAUAAUAGUUUGAACCAUGCAACAGAAGCAGCACUAAAUGCUACAGCGUGAAGCAGUCGCUCAUUGAUGUGCGUUUAAACAGUGAUGCGAUGGCAGAGGUUAGAAAAACAAGAGUCUACAGCCAUGCUAGCGACUCUGUGAGACUAGCUUUGACCUAAAUGCUAAUGUUAGCAUGGUAACAUGCUCAGAAUGACGAUGCUAACAUGCUCAACUUUAGCAGGUAUAAUGUCUACCAUGUUCACUAUCUUAGUUUAGUAUGUUAACAUACUAACAGUUGCUAGUUAGCACUAAACACAAAGUAUGGUUGAGGCUGAUGAGAAUAUCAUUGGUUUUUGCAGGUAUUUGGUCGUAAACCAAAGUAUUGGAUAAACUAAAAUUUUGAACUGAUGAUGGCAGUAGAGUUAAAGUUAAGGGCUUACCAAAGUCAUUACGAAUUAACAGUAUCAAUCAUUAAGUAUCAGGCCACUAUCAGUUAAACCACAAAUUUGUUUUAGACAGCCAUUUUUAUGGAAAGCACAAUAACCAAGUGUAAAGAGCUGGAUUGAUAUGAAUGUAUAUAAAUGCAGGAAGUAGCAUUCAUGUAGUUUCAAAUGUAUGAACUACAUAGUCAGUAACUACGAAUCUUUGAGGUAAACUGAAUGAAAUCAGCAAAGUAAUUCGUAAUUUCCACCUUUACUUAGAUAAACUUCUGUCUUGAAUAUAAACUUUCUUUCACCAACACGUUGGUAAAACAGAACCAUGUAAAAGGAGAAUGGCUCACAACCCAGUAAAAAUGAGAGCUGAAAUACUAUUGCCACCACUGAAUAAAUACUACGAGGUCAGAUGCUGAGGUCAGUCUGAAACAACUUUUCACAAGAAAGGGAAUGAAUCCCCCCCAAAACUCAAGGCACACUGCUUCACAUUGCCCCAUUUAAGUACUGAUCUUCAAGGUCAAACAGGGUCAAACAAUCACACACACAUGUUGUUAAUCAUGUUGCCACAAUACUUAAGGCUUUUGUACUUUUUGUACUGGGGGGAUUAAUUCCUUUUCUUGUGGACAGUAUUUAGCCUGUCUGUGCAUCAGGAGCACCUGCUUUUUGUUUCAUCACUGUCAAAUCCAAGUUGAGCAUCAUGUUUUUGUCACGUCUAAGUUUUGCAGAGUCAUACAUUUGGUAACAUAACAUUCAUUAAGCUGAGUAAUGUCCUUUUGUAUUUCUAUUAUGUACAGACACUGACUCACCUCAUCAGUAUCUUCAUUUUGUGUUUCUUGAUUUCCCCAGGUAUCCUUGCUGUCUCAUUUCAAAAACAGCCAUUUCUAAAUAAAACAACAGUGUGCUGAUUGUCUGAGGACGUUUUCAGAAUUUUGCCUGCAGCGAAUUUGUGCCUCAGCUGACCUUCUAGAGGUGCUCACAUAGCAUAUCUCUGUUAUUGUUUCAAGUUAAAAUUCCCUGGUUCAGCUAAAGGAGUGAAAGGUCAUGCUUCUUCCCCCAAGGCCUGAAGACACUUGGUGAUGUAUGUCCACUAUUCAAUUCCCGUGACUUAUCACCAUUUGCUGCAGCAUGCUAAUAUCUUAAUCACUAUACCGGUGAGCACACAGACCUUGUGACAUCCUUGAGAAAAGCUGCUUGGAAAGACAGGGCAAGAUAAGAUACCAAGAGGCUAAAAGAGAAAGGCAGAAAGUAAUUUUAAAAGACUAUAUUUAAUUUUGAGGAGCCAGUGGUCACCACACCUGAUAUGUGAAUGGUACCAAAAUCAACUCUGUGAUUCUGUUAUUGUUCUGUGCCGUGAAGUGCAAUAAACCCUCUCUUUCUGAAG